rnacentral:rRNA from 1 species
AAGUCGUAACAAGGUUUCCGUAGGUGAACCUGCGGAAGGAUCAUUAUUGAAUACUGAAUCGGUUCUGAUGCUGGCCCUUCACUGGGCAUGUGCUCGUCCGUUCAUAUUUACCUUCUCUUGUGCACAUUUUGUAGUCCUUUGGAACAAGUGAAUUUCGCGCUGCUGUGAUUAACUUUGCGGUGGUUGCGGUUUGGGGGAUUGGGUGUAACAGCCCUUCCCCUGUUUAUGCGCGUUUUGCUGCGAUUUACUUCGUGGUGACUGCGGUUUGGGGGUUGAGCGUCAGCACUUCCCCUGCCUUUGCUUUUUUCCAAGGCUAUGUUUUCAUAUACCCUAUACAAUGUUACAGAAUGUCUUUAACGAUUGUGCUUGGUCGCAGUCAUUAAACCUAUACAACUUUCAGCAACGGAUCUCUUGGCUCUCCCAUCGAUGAAGAACGCAGCGAAAUGCGAUAAGUAAUGUGAAUUGCAGAAUUCAGUGAAUCAUCGAAUCUUUGAACGCACCUUGCGCCCUUUGGUAUUCCGAAGGGCAUGCCUGUUUGAGUGUCAUUAAAUUAUCAACCUUGUUCGCUUUUACGAGCUUGAGCGAGGCUUGGAUGUGAGGGCUUGCUGGCUUCCUUCAGUGGAUGGUCUGCUCCCUUUAAAUGCAUUAGUGGGAUCUCUUGUGGACCGUCACUUGGUGUGAUAAUUAUCUAUGCCAUUUGACUGUGAAGCAAAAUUAUGGGAACCUGCUUACAACCGUCUCGCAAGGGACAAUUUAAUUGACUAUUUGACCUCAAAUCAGGUAGGACUACCCGCUGAACUUAAGCAUAUCAAUAAGCGGAGGAAAAGAAACUAACAAGGAUUCCCCUAGUAACUGCGAGUGAAGCGGGAAAAGCUCAAAUUUAAAAUCUGGCGGUCCCUGUGGCCGUCCGAGUUGUAAUUUAGAGAAGUGUUAUCCGCGCUGGACCGUGUACAAGUCUCCUGGAAUGGAGCGUCAUAGAGGGUGAGAAUCCCGUCUUUGACACGGACUGCCAGGGCAUUGCGAUACGCUCUCAAAGAGUCGAGUUGUUUGGGAAUGCAGCUCAAAAUGGGUGGUAAAUUCCAUCUAAAGCUAAAUAUUGGGGAGAGACCGAUAGGGAACAAGUACCGUGAGGGAAAGAUGAAAAGAACUUUGGAAAGAGAGUUAAACAGUACGUGAAAUUGCUGAAAGGGAAACGCUUGAAGUCAGUCGCGUCGCUCAGGACUCAGCCUUGCUUUUGCUUGGUGUACUUCCUGUUCGAUGGGUCAGCAUCAAUUUUGGUCGGUGGAUAAAGGCUCAGAGAAUGUGGCAUCUUCGGGUGUGUUAUAGCUCUGGGUUGUAUACAUCGGCUGGGAUUGAGGAACUCAGCACGCCGCAAGGCCGGGUACUUGUACCACGUACGUGCUUAGGAUGCUGGCAUAAUGGCUUUAAUCGACC